rnacentral:rRNA from 1 species
UACGGGGGGGGCAAGCGUUAUUCGGAAUUACUGGGCGUAAAGCGCGCGUAGGUGGUUUUCCAAGUCCUGUGUUUAAUGUCAUGGCUCAACUGUGGCGCCGCAUGGGAUACUGGGAGACUCGAGUGCCGGAGAGGAAAGUGGAAUUCCUAGUGUAGCGGUGAAAUGCGUAGAUAUUAGGAGGAACACCAGUGGCGAAGGCGACUUUCUGGACGGUAACUGACGCUGAGGCGCGAAAGCCAGGGGAGCAAACGGG